rnacentral:rRNA from 1 species
AGCCAUGCCGCGUGAGUGAAGAAGGCUCGGGUUGUAAAGCUCUUUCGGCGGGGACGAAACGGUUCGUGACAACACCACGGACUAAUGACGGUACUCGCAGAAGAAGCACCGGCUAACUACGUGCCAGCAGCCGCGGUAAUACGUAGGGUGCAGGCGUUAAUCGGAAUUACUGGGCGUAAAGCGUGCGCAGGCGGACUCCUUAAGUCAGAUGUGAAAUCCCCGGGCUUAAACCUGGGAACUGCGUUUGAAACUGGGGGGCUCGAGUGUGGAAGAGGGGGGUGGAAUUCCAGGUGUAGCAAGUGAAAUGCGUAGAGAUCUGGAGGAACACCGAUGGCGAAGGCAGCCCCCUGGGCUAACACUGACGCUCAUGCACGAAAGCGUGGGGAGCAAACAGGAUUAGAUACCCUGGUAGUCCACGCCCUAAACGAUGUCAACUGGUUGUCGGGGAAGCAAUUCCUUGGUAACGAAGCUAACGCGUGAAGUUGACCGCCUGGGGAGUACGGCCGCAAGGUUA